rnacentral:lncRNA from 1 species
AUUCUUACUGUUGGAGCUAUAUAUUAAUAUGUUUAUGAAUGCAAUGAUAUGAUACCUGGGAUUUGCUGUAAGAUAGUGCUGUUAAAAAAAAAGUGGGAUGGAGUUCCCUUCGUGGCUCAGUGGUUGACAAAUCCUACUAGGAACCAUGAGGUUUCGGGUUUGAUCCCUGGCCUCGCUCAGUGGGUUAAGGAUCUGGCGUUGCCGUGAGCUGUGGUGUAGGUCACAGACGUGGCCUGGAUCCCGCAUUGCUGUGGCUCUGGCGUAGCCUAGUGGCUACAGCUCCGACUGGACCCCUAGCCUGGGAACCUCCACAUGCCUUGGUGGUGGCACUAGAAAAAACAAAACAAAAAAAAAAAGUGGGAGUUCCCGUCGUGGUGCAGGGGAAAGGAAUCUGACUAGGAACCAUGAGGCUGCGGGUUCAAUCCCUGGCUUCGCUUAGUAGGUUGAGGAUCUGGCAUUGAUGUGAGCUGUGGUGUAGGUUGCAGACCAGGCUCGGAUCCUGCGUUGCUCUGGCUGUGGUGUAGGCUGGCAGCUGUAGCUCUGAUUCGACCCCUGGCCUGGGAACCUCCAUAUGCCACAGGUGGGACCCUAUAAAGACAAAAGACAAAAAAAAAAAAAAAAAAAGUGUGAGAGCUUGCAGAAGAGUAAAAUAAAGCUGAGUGAUGGGUACAUGGAGUUUACUGUACUAUGCUCUCUACCAUUGUGUUGCUUUGGAAAUUGUUAUAAUAAAAAAUGAAAGAAAGAGAAUGAAAAGAGGGAGUUCCUGUCAUGGCACAGAGGAAACGAAUCCGACUAGGGACCAUGACGUUGUGGGUUCGAUCCCUGGCCUCUCUCAGUGAGUUAUGGAUCCGUCAUUGCCGUGUGUUGCAGUGAGCUGUGGUGUAGGUUGCAGAUGUGGCUCUGAUUAGACCCCUAGCCUGAGAACUUCCAUAUGCUGUGCAGGUACGGCCCUGAAAACAAAAACAAAACAAAACAAAACAAAAACCCAAAGGGUUUUUAGAAAGACUGGCGCUGGCAUGUUGGGAGGAUAAGGAAUCAUCCAAUAGAACUGGGGUUUUGUGAUGAGGAAGAAAUAGCAGAAAGAGGCUGAAGGAUAGGGGCAGCUUCUAGAAAAACUUGAUUGCCACACACAAAGAGCUUAUCAAUAAGGAUUAAAUAAGAUCUGAAUAAAGAAUUUAAGCAAGAAAAGAACACAAUUAGAAUGCUUUUUUAUGUUUGUUUUUUGACCUCACCUGUGGCAGGUCAGGGGUUGAACCUGUGCCACAGCAGUGACAAAGCCAGAUCCUUAACCCACUGAGCCACCAGGGAACUCCUAGAAUGGGGUUUUGAAAAGAUCAUUUCAGGGAGUUCCCAUUGAGGCUCAAUGGGUUAAGAACCUGGCAUUGCAGAGGGCUGCGGAGUAGGUCACAGAUGCGUCUUGGAUCUGACGUUGCUGUGUCUGUGGCUUAGGCAGGCAGCUGCAGUUCUGAUUCACCCCUAGCCCAGGAACUUCAUAUGCUGCGGGUACGGCCCUUAAAAGAAAAGAAAAGAAAAGAAAAGAUCAUUUCAGCAGUUGAUGGGAGCAGGACUGGGGGUAGCGUGAAGAGUUAGAAGUCUAUCAUUAAGCUAAAGCAAAGGAGAAAUGACAAAGGCUUAUCUAUUUACUCUGUUCUAUUUCGUAUCAGACUAUAAACUCCAAGACAGCAGGGCCACGUCUAUCUUGUUCUUGCUGUGUCUCCAGCACGAAACAAAAAGUCUGCUUCAUAAAUAUUCGCUGAAAGAAUGAAUGAAAGGGAGGCAGUGGAGGUGAGGCAUUUUGAAGAACUGGGCUUAAUAGUCAAUGGCCUUGGCAAGGGCAGAAUGGUGAUAAAUGGUGAGAGCAGAUGGGAAUGGGGUGGGGGGUGUCGUGGAGCCUGGUUCCUUAAGAUUCCUUUAAGAGCUUGGGUAAGGGGGUAUUCUAUCACGGACACAGGCUUCCAAAAAAAAAAAAACUUCACAGGUCUAAUUCCUGGCCUCCUCAGUUCACAAAAGGAGGAAAUGAUCAUAUUUUGAAGGACUGAAGGGAGGAUUAAGGAAAAAUUUAGCAAAAAUUUCUGUCCUUCCUUAAACGCAGUGUUUCCAAAGCACACAGCAAAAGGGGACUAACUUCAACCUCACUCUGUGACGACGAUUUUUUGGGUGGGGUGGGAACCAAUGACCUCAGAGACUCCGGGCCCGGCCAGGGCGACUCCCUAGCCUAAGCCUCAGGCCCGCCCAACCCCAAACCUUGCCCAGCCCCCUCGUUUCCACAUGUCGCUUUUCUAGAUUCCCC